ensembl:lncRNA
GGGCACUACUUUUCACCAGAGAUCAAUGGGUAGGGCACUACUUUUCACCAGAGAUCAAUGGGUAGGGCACUACUUUUCACCAGAGAUCAAUGGGUAGGACACUACUUUUCACCAGAGAUCAAUGGGUAGGGCACUACUUUUCACCAGAGACCAAUGGGUAGGGCACUACUUUUCACCAGAGACCAAUGGGUAGUGCACUACUUUUCACCAGAGACCAAUGGGUAGGGCACUACUUUUCACCAGAGACCAAUGGGUAGUGCACUACUUUUCACCAGAGACCAAUGGGUAGGGCACUACUUUUCACCAGAGACCAAUGGGUAGGGCACUACUUUUCACCAGAGACCAAUGGGUAGUGCACUACUUUUCACCAGAGACCAAUGGGUAGGGUACUACUUUUCACCAGAGACCAAUGGGUAGGGCACUACUUUUCACCAGAGACCAAUGGGUAGUGCACUACUUUUCACCAGAGACCAAUGGGUAGGGCACUACUUUUCACCAGAGACCAAUGGGUAGUGCACUACUUUUCACCAGAGACCAAUGGGUAGGGCACUACUUUUCACCAGAGACCAAUGGGUAGGGCACUACUUUUCACCAGAGACCAAUGGGUAGUGCACUAUAUAGCAAAUUGGGUGCAGUUUAGGAUGUGUACUUUGUCCUUUUCACACUUCAUCUAUAAGAAAUAAGACCACAAAACAUUUCUACUAGGAUGUAAACAUAUACAUCAAUCUCCAAUGUUAAAACAAGCUGUUAAAAUAACGCCACACAUUGUUUAAGUUGCACAAACGUCAGUGAAGAUGAAGAGGUGAUAGAGAGAGUAGAGACCACAGAUAACAGAGAGGUGAUAGAGAGAGUAGAGACCACAGAUAACAGAGAGGUGAUAGAGAGAGUAGAGACCACAGAUAACAGAGACGUGAUAGAGAGAGUAGAGACCACAGAUAACAGAGAGGUGAUAGAGAGAGUAGAGACCACAGAUAACAGAGCAUCCCUGUGUCCAGUCCACAGUAUAUACCAAGGCCAGAGAGCUACCGUCUUGUAGGUUUCAUUGCCAACCCUAAUCUAGAACACCUGAUUCUAAUAAUGAGCUGGUUGAUAAGCUGAUAAACUGAAUCAGGUUAGUUACAACUGGGGACGGUAGCCCUCCAGGAACAGCGUUGGAGAACCCUGGUGGACCCAGUAAUGUUCCUCCAGGAACAGCAUUGGAGAACCCUGGUGGACCCAGUAACGUUCCUCCAGGAACAGCAUUGGAGAACCCUGGUGGACCCAGUAAUGUUCCUCCAAGAACAGCAUUGGAGAACCCUGGUGGACCCAGUAAAGUUCCUCCAGGAACAGCAUUGGAGAACCCUGGUGGACCCAGUAACGUUCCUCCAGGAACAGCAUUGGAGAACCCUAGUGGACCCAGUAACGUUCCUCCAGGAACAGCAUUGGAGAACCCUGGUGGACCCAGUAACGUUCCUCCAAGAACAGCAUUGGAGAACCCUGGUGGACCCAGCAACACUCCUCCAGGAACAGCAUUGGAGAACCCUGGUGGACCCAGUAAUGUUCCUCCAGGAACAGCAUUGGAGAACCCUGGUGGACCCAGUAAUGUUCCUCCAGGAACAGCAUUGGAGAACCCUGGUGGACCCAGCAACACUCCUCCAGGUUCUUUUUCCUAACGAGCACGAUUCAUCUGAACCAAUCACAAUCCUGAUGAUUGGUAGAAUGAAGUGUGAAUCAGCCAAUCAAGGUCCUGAUGAGCAGCAGCUGAUUAGGUAAAAUCAGGUGUGUUAGCACAGGUCUAGAGAAAAAGCCUGCACCGCAUGCUCUCCAGGAAGCAGACUAGUCACACCGCAGUAGACAGGACCAAUUAGCAGCUAGUGGCCACAAAGAGCUGAUUGGACAAGGAAGAUGGGGCGGGGCGACUGUGGAUGAGACCAGCUCAUUCCGCCCCCUACUUAAGGCCAAAACCAGCUAGUGUUACUAUCAACGAGGAGGAGGAAGAGAAGGAGGAGGACAAAGAUGAGGGAGAAGGAGGAAGAGGAAGGGGGAGGAGACUGACGGUUCUGUCUGUCUCUCUAUCUAUCUGGACUCUGAGCCGAACGGAGCCGAGCAGAACCGAAAAAAUGAUGAGACGCGCAUCAUCUGUCAGUUUGGAUUAAACUCAGUCUAAUCGCUGUGAAAUGACCGAGGAGAAAGAAGACGUCAUUGCUGUCACUGACACUGAAACUAACUCGGCCUGCGAGUCAGUCAGAGAUGACAAUGGGGACUAAGGAGCUUUCAACCUGGGCUGGCGCACAGUGCCCUACUUGCCACUUUAAGGACCUUUCAACCAGGGCUGGUGCACAGUGCCCUACUGCCUCUUUAAGGAACUUUCAACCAGGGCUGGAGCACAGUGCCCUACUGCCUCUUUAAGGAACUUUCAACCAGGGCUGGAGCACAGUGCCCUACUGCCUCUUUAAGGAACUUUCAACCAAGGCUGGAGCACAGUGCCCUACUGCCUCUUUAAGGAACUUUCAACCAGGGCUGGAGCACAGUGCCCUACUUGCCACUUUAAGGAACUUUCAACCAGGGCUGGUGCACAGUGCCCUACUGCCUCUUUAAGGAACUUUCAACCAGGGCUGGAGCACAGUGCCCUACUGCCUCUUUAAGGAACUUUCAACCAGGGCUGGAGCAC